ensembl:snoRNA
UUGCACAUUUUAUUGACCUGCUUUCUUUUGCAUGUGUGAACAGUGUUAUUUCUUCGUUAUUCAAAGAGUUGAAGGUUAAUUAGCCGUGUAACUUCAAGUAGUAAUGCUGCCAGUCUCCUUCACACACAC